UACGUAGGGGGCAAGCGUUAUCCGGAUUUACUGCGUGUAAAGGGGGCGCAGACGGCGAUGCAAGCCAGGAGUGAAAGCCCGGGGCCCAACCCCGGGACUGCUCUUGGAACUGCGUGGCUGGAGUGCAGGAGGGGCAGGCGGAAUUCCUGGUGUAGCGGUGAAAUGCGUAGAUAUCAGGAGGAACACCGGUGGCGAAGGCGGCCUGCUGGACUGCAACUGACGUUGAGGCCCGAAAGUGUGGGGAGCAAACAGG
rnacentral:rRNA from 1 species